AUGGUGAAGGGGAGUUUCGGUCAAGUGGAAUCUGAUGGGUUGCAGGGCGAGGAGCAGGGAGUAGCAUGGCGUAGAUACAGAAUAUCGGCCUCUCCCCACGACCCACCUCUCCCACCAGAGCACAACUGGUCAUCUAGGGUUUGGAUGGGUCUGGGUUCCUACAAUGAUGGCAGCAGAGGCGACAAAGACCAUUUUGAUUACAAUUCCUUGUGUGAGCUCCUCCCUCUAAUUCAUGUCCUCCUAAUUCAUUUUUUUCAGUCAUCUAGGGUUUGGAUGGGUCUGGGUUCCUACAAUGAUGGCAGCAGAGGCGACAAAGACCACUUUGCAACCUCGCCGAACUGUGUUACUGAACUGAAAGUUUAG
rnacentral:rRNA from 1 species